ACGGAAGGCAGCAGUGGGGAAUAUUGCACAAUGGGCGAAAGCCUGAUGCAGCGACGCCGCGUGAGUGAAGAAGUAUCUCGGUAUGUAAAGCUCUAUCAGCAGGGAAGAAAAUGACGGUACCUGACUAAGAAGCCCCGGCUAACUACGUGCCAGCAGCCGCGGUAAUACGUAGGGGGCAAGCGUUAUCCGGAUUUACUGGGUGUAAAGGGAGCGUAGACGGUUUGGCAAGUCUGAAGUGAAAUGCGGGGGCUCAACUCCUGAACUGCUUUGGAAACUGUCGAACUAGAGUGCAGGAGAGGUAAGUGGAAUUCCUAGUGUAGCGGUGAAAUGCGUAGAUAUUAGGAGGAACACCAGUGGCGAAGGCGGCUUACUGGACUGUAACUGACGUUGAGGCUCGAAAGCGUGGAGAGCAAACAGGAUUAGAUACCCUGGUA
rnacentral:rRNA from 1 species